GCUGCAGUGCUUGGAGUCCUCAGGAAGCGCUAGGAGCAUCCUUCAAUGGAGGUACCCAGUCGGGGUGCCAGGUGAUCCGUUACACCCCCUAUUCUUAAUUCUAAAGAACUAUAUUCCCUAAUUUUAUCCCUAACCCCCAACACAAUGCACCCAAUAACUUUAUCAAUCUAAUCUAAAUCCUUCUACGCUAAGGAUCCACAUAGUCUACUUAAUUUUAAUCCUAAUCU